UAGGUAUGCUUAGGGAGGAGCUUGCGUCACAUUAGUUAGUUGGUGGGGUAAAGGCCUACCAAGACUAUGAUGUGUAGCCGGGCUGAGAGGUUGAACGGCCACAUUGGGACUGAGACACGGCCCAAACUCCUACGGGAGGCAGCAGUAGGGAAUUUUCGGCAAUGGAGGAAACUCUGACCGAGCAACGCCGCGUGAACGAUGAAGUAUUUCGGUACGUAAAGCUCUUUUAUUAGGGAAGAAUAAAUGAUGGAAAAAUCAUUCUGACGGUACCUAAUGAAUAAGCCCCGGCUAACUAUGUGCCAGCAGCCGCGGUAAUACAUAGGGGGCAAGCGUUAUCCGGAAUUAUUGGGCGUAAAGGGUGCGUAGGCGGUUAAAUAAGUUUAUGGUCUAAGUGCAAUGCUCAACAUUGUGAUGCUAUAAAAACUGUUUAGCUAGAGUAAGAUAGAGGCAAGUGGAAUUCCAUGUGUAGUGGUAAAAUGCGUAAAUAUAUGGAGGAACACCAGUAGCGAAGGCGGCUUGCUGGGUCUUUACUGACGCUGAGGCACGAAAGCGUGGGGAGCAAACAGGAUUAGAUACCCUGGUAGUCCACGCCGUAAACGAUGAGUACUAAACGUUGGGUAAAACCAGUGUUGAAGUUAACACAUUAAGUACUCCGCCUGAGUAGUACGUACGCAAGUAUGAAACUUAAAGGAAUUGACGGGACUCCGCACAAGCGGUGGAUCAUGUUGUUUAAUUCGAAGGUACCCGAAAAACCUUACCAGGUCUUGACAUGCUUCUGCAAAGCUGUAGAAACACAGUGGAGGUUAUCAGUUGCACAGGUGGUGCAUGGUUGUCGUCAGCUCGUGUCGUGAGAUGUUGGGUUAAGUCCCGCAACGAGCGCAACCCUUAUUGUUAGUUACCAGCACGUAAUGGUGGGGACUUUAGCAAGACUGCCAGUGAUAAAUUGGAGGAAGGUGGGGACGACGUCAAAUCAUCAUGCCCCUUAUGACCUGGGCUACAAACGUGAUACAAUGGCUGUUACAAAGGGUAGCUGAAGCGCAAGUUUUUGGCGAAUCUCAAAAAAACAGUCUCAGUUCGGAUUGAAGUCUGCAACUCGACUUCAUGAAGU
rnacentral:rRNA from 1 species